rnacentral:lncRNA from 1 species
GGCGCCCUGGGCUGGGAGCAACGCGACUGACCGUGGUCGUGGGCGGACGGCGGCUGCAGCGUGGAGGAGCUGGGGUCGCUGUGGGUCGCGAAGCAGAGCCCGGGACGUGCGCGCUUGGUGCACGAUCCUGAAGGGGAGCUCCGAGGGGCCCGGGUCGCCAGGGCUGCUGCGGCCAUUCCCGGAGCCCGGCGCGGGGCCCGCGAGAUACUGGUUUAGGCCGUCCCAGGGCUCCGGGCGCACCCGGUGGCCGCUGCUGCAGCGGAGGGAGCGCGGCGGCGCGGGGGCUCGGAGACAGCGUUUCUCCCGGAAGUCUUCCUCGGGCAGCAGGUGGGAAGUGGGAGCCGGAGCGGCAGCUGGCAGCGUUCUCUCCGCAGGUCGGCACCAUGCGCCCUGCAGCCCUGCGCGGGGCCCUGCUGGGCUGCCUCUGCCUGGCGUUGCUUUGCCUGGGCGGUGCGGACAAGCGCCUGCGUGACAACCAUGAGUGGAAAAAACUAAUUAUGGUUCAGCACUGGCCUGAGACAGUAUGCGAGAAAAUUCAAAACGACUGUAGAGACCCUCCGGAUUACUGGACAAUACAUGGACUAUGGCCCGAUAAAAGUGAAGGAUGUAAUAGAUCGUGGCCCUUCAAUUUAGAAGAGAUUAAGGAUCUUUUGCCAGAAAUGAGGGCAUACUGGCCUGACGUAAUUCACUCGUUUCCCAAUCGCAGCCGCUUCUGGAAGCAUGAGUGGGAAAAGCAUGGGACCUGCGCCGCCCAGGUGGAUGCGCUCAACUCCCAGAAGAAGUACUUUGGCAGAAGCCUGGAACUCUACAGGGAGCUGGACCUCAACAGGUUGCAGAUUUUAAAGAUGCCCUUGCCAGAGUAUAUGGAGUGAUACCCAAAAUCCAGUGCCUUCCACCAAGCCAGGAUGAGGAAGUACAGACAAUUGGUCAGAUAGAACUGUGCCUCACUAAGCAAGACCAGCAGCUGCAAAACUGCACCGAGCCGGGGGAGCAGCCGUCCCCCAAGCAGGAAGUCUGGCUGGCAAAUGGGGCCGCCGAGAGCCGGGGUCUGAGAGUCUGUGAAGAUGGCCCAGUCUUCUAUCCCCCACCUAAAAAGACCAAGCAUUGAUGCCCAAGUUUUGGAAAUAUUCUGUUUUAAAAAGCAAGAGAAAUUCACAAACUGCAGCUUUC